CGCGCUCAGACGCCCCAGCUCCGCCGAGAGGCCGCUCGCGCCGGGUCCUUCCUCUUCCCCAAGUGCAGGCAGAGCCCCCGGAGCCAUGGCCAGCCCUUCCGGCAGCUCCGAAGCCACUGGCAAGCCCCGAGGCAGGGAUGGCCGGCCCAGGAGGGAGGAGGACGACGUGCCUCCCGAGGAGAAGAGGCUGCGGCUGGGGCUGGAGGGGGGAAGCGCACAGCCCGAGGACUGCGAGGACGGGGAGGACGCGCCGCGGCCGGGCAGGGAGGAGACCGGCACCCAGACAGGUGGCGACGGCAGAGGAGAUCUACUGUCCCUGCCAUACAGCCUGGUUGAGGGUCAGGACUACAAGUCUGAAAAUUCAACCCUCCUCCCCGGUGCCAAGAACAGUCUGCAAGACUCCGUUUCGGCAAGUCAGGCUACAGGCAAAGCUGAGGAAACUGGUCAAAGAACUCAUGCAAGUGGAACUUACAGCUUCCUUGAUCGGACUCAGCAUUCAGAUAUCAAAGCAGACUGCAAUACCUGUGUGGAAAUAGAAGACAGAAAGGUGUGAACCAGCAAACGGGUGACAGUGAGAGGAAGGAGCAAGCAUGUGAACAAAUGCGUGAAGCACAGUCAGUCUCUGAAUGGAAAUCCAUGUGUCUUAUGAAAAUCCGUUAUUGUUGAAAGCCAUUUGCAAAGCUUCCACGAUCCUCGCUUGGCUGGUGCACGGCUGUGAGUGCCUCUUUCCAAGUCUCCUGUGGGUGACGGGGAAUGGCUAACCAGGGAUUGUGUUCACAGGCAUAUCGAUUCCAAGUCUGAUCACAGCCACAAAUUUCUUUCCCAGGUU
rnacentral:sRNA from 1 species